UAUCGAUGCAGACGAUGUCGCCAUUCUCUGUACAUCUUCUUGAGGUGGUCUAAACACAUUCACUUUUUCUCUUGUAUGCCAUCAAACUUUCCCUGUUUCACAUUUGAUGUUAUAAAAAGUUAGAAUUUAGUAUAAUAAAAACUUGAAUAAGACACAACUAGUAUUAACUUGUGAUAGUGUUACAUACAAGUAAAUCAUCAAACAUCUUUUGCCUUAUAUGAUUUGGCACCUCCUUCCAUCUUUUAUUUGACAAUACUGUGUACUGCCGAAGAACACUCCCAUUUCAGUUAUAAAAGGUACAACAUCACCCGCCACUGCUCUUCUUAAGUCACUAUCGAUCGUUACUGC
rnacentral:lncRNA from 1 species